GAUCAUGGCUCAGGAUGAACGCUAGCGACAGGCUUAACACAUGCAAGUCGAGGGGCAGCAUGAACUUAGCUUGCUAAGUUUGAUGGCGACCGGCGCACGGGUGAGUAACGCGUAUGCAACUUACCUAUCAGAGGAGAAUAGCUCAUCGAAAGAUGAAUUAAUGCUCCAUAAAACAGGGGCCCCGCAUGGGGAUAUUUGUUAAAGAUUCAUCGCUGAUAGAUAGG
rnacentral:rRNA from 1 species